GUCGUCGUGGCCGAGUGGUUAAAGCGAAAGACCUGAGAAUCUGUUGGGCUCUGCCCGCAUAAGUUCGAAUCCUGUCGGCGACG
rnacentral:tRNA from 1 species